GGGGAAUUCGCAUUUUGUCUCUUCAUAGGCUUAGCCGGUUGGUCGUUGUAUGGAAAAUUGACACAAUUUUCAAACUAAUGGAUCAAUUUGAAUAUUAUAUCGAAAAACGUUUGAAAAAUUCUGAAUCAAAGUUAAAGUUAUAUUUGUGGCUAGUAAAAGUAACAGUAACCGGACAAUUGAUGCUGAAUUUGAUAAUCAGCUAUUUGCUUUACUUCACAACCGAUUUGGGAGCCGACACCUUCAACUUUCCCCAUCAAAUUUGUUUGGUGGCAGCAUGGUGUUGGAUUCUAAUGUUGUUGGUCGAUGAAUUGAAAGAAAAACUAGCCGUUCUGGAUGCGACUUCAAAAACUAUGGAAAAUUCGUUGGUUCUUAAAAGAGGAUUUAAUGAAUUUAUUGAAUUUCAUGCAUAUGAACAAAAACUUGCUCAUGACUUUUCCAACAUAUCAGAGCCCAUAUCAGGUAUUUCAGUAUUUCAGCUGGAGUGUUGUGACCAUUUGUAGCUGCCUCUUAGCGUUUCAGAUGGAAAUGGUGU